CAUAGCGACUAUCGUGGCAUAUCAAUAAGCGGAGGAAAAGAAACUAACAAGGAUUCCCUUAGUAACGGCGAGUGAAGCGGGAAGAGCUCAAAUAUUGAAAUCUUCAAGGGUUCUACCUUUACGAAUUGUAGUUUAAAGAAGUGUUUUCUGUUGGAGUUUCGGUAAAAGUUCUUUGGAAUAGGACAUCAUAGAGGGUGAGGAAUCCCGUAUUUGACCGUUACUUUCCAGCUGUGUGAUACACUUUCAAAGAGUCGGAUUGUUUGGGAAUGCAGUCCAAAAUGGGUGGUAAAUUUCAUCUAAAGCUAAAUAUUGGCGAGAGACCGAUAGCGAACAAGUACCGUGAGGGAAAGAUGAAAAGAACUUUGAAAAGAGAGUUAAACAGUACGUGAAAUUGUCAAAAGGGAAGCGUUUGACACCAGUGUUGUUUAGUUGAAAAUCAAUUAAAUAUUUUUCGAUUUUAAGUAGUAUUGACCUUAUCAGCUUGCUGCUUUUUUCUCGGAAAUUAUUUAAUGCACUUUUCAGUUAACAAGUCAACAUCAAUUUCUUUUGUUGUAAAAAGGUAAGAGGAAGGUGGCUUGCGCUUCGGCUCAAGUGUUUAUAGCCUUUUACCCCUGCAAUCGGAGAGAUUGAGGUCUGCAGCGUAGAUCCUUCGGGGUUAGAUACAUUUGUGCUAAGCUAUAGCCUUGUAUAGACAACUUGUUGACUAUGCUCAGUCAUGUAGCUUACUCGCUUAUGCUAUUUUACCUACGCUUAGGAUGUUGACGCGCGUGUGUGCGUG
rnacentral:rRNA from 1 species